UAGAAAAGAUAAUGCUAAAAUUAGUAAUAAGAGAAUAGCAUCUCUCCGAGCACAUGUGUAAGUCAGAUCGGACAAACCACUGACAAUUAACGGCCCCAGCAAAUGAGGGUACAAUCAGCCAAAACUAAACAACAAGAAGAUCCUGAUAUAUUAACCGUUAACCCAACACAGGCGCGCCACUUAAAGGAAAGACCAAAAGGAGUGGAAGGAACUCGGCAAACCCAAACCCCGCCUGUUUACCAAAAACAUCGCCUCUUGCUAAUAAAUUAUGUAUUAGAGGUCCCGCCUGCCCUGUGACCAUAAAUGUUUUAACGGCCGCGGUAUCCUGACCGUGCAAAGGUAGCGUAAUCACUUGUCUUUUAAAUGAAGACCCGUAUGAAUGGCACGACGAGGGUUUAACUGUCUCCCACACCCAGUCAAUGAAAUUGAUCUGUCCGUGCAGAAGCGGAUAUUAAAACAUAAGACGAGAAGACCCUAUGGAGCUUUAGGCCAAGGAUCAAACAUGUAAAAAAUCUGUUACCUCAAAAAGACAAAUAAAAAGCCUUAAACUAAUUGAUUAAUGAUCCAAGUACCUUCGGUUGGGGCGACCGCGGGGGAAAACAAAGCCCCCGAAUGGAACUGAAAACUUUCCAAGACAAGAGCUACAGCUCUAAGCAACAGAAAUCAUCUGACCAAAAAUGAUCCAGGAUAAAAUUACACCUGAUCAAUGAACCAAGUUACCCUAGGGAUAACAGCGCAAUCCUUUCCCAGAGUCCAUAUCGACGAAAGGGUUUACGACCUCGAUGUUGGAUCAGGACAUCCUAAUGGUGCAGCCGCUAUUAAGGGUUCGUUUGUUCAACGAUUAACAGUCCUACGUGAUCUGAGUUCAGACCGGAGUAAUCCAGGUCGGUUUCUAUCUAUGAACCUGCCUCUUCCCAGUACGAAAGGACCGGAAGAAGGGGGCCUAUACCAAAAGCAAGCCCCACCCCCAACUCCUGAAAACAAAUAAAAGAA
rnacentral:rRNA from 1 species